CAAGCGAUAGGUAAGGGCAUUUGGUGAAUGCCUUGGCAAUCAGAGGCGAAGAAGGACGUAAUACAUUGCGAAAAGCUCAGGGGAGUUAUGAAUAGGCAUUGAUCCUGAGAUAUCCGAAUGGGGAAACCCGGCCGUAAGGUCAUCAUUAUCUGAAAAGAUAGGGUAAUGAAGCGAACUGAGCGAACUGAAACAUCUAAGUAGCUCAAGGAAAGGAAAUCAACCGAGACUCCGAAAGUAGUGGCGAGCGAAAUCGGACCAGCCGAUGGAUUUGAUUGUAAGAACUAGAACAGCGUGGGAAAGCUGACCGAAGAUGGUGAUAGUCCAGUAUAGGUAGAAAGCAAUUAAGUUCUUGAGUAGGGCGGAGCACGAGAAAUUCUGUCUGAAAAUGGGGAGACCACUCUCCAAGGCUAAGUACUACUGAUUGACCGAUAGUGAACAAGUACCGUGAGGGAAAGGUGAAAAGCACCCCGAUAAGGGGAGUGAAAGAGAACCUGAAACCGGAUGCCUACAAGCAGUCGGAGGAACAUUAAGUUCUGACGGCGUACCUUUUGUAUAAUGGGUCAGCGACUUAAUUUAUGUAGCAAGCCUAAGCCGAUAGGUGUAAGCGAAGCGAAAGCGAGUGUUAAUAGCGCGAAAAGUUACAUGGAUUAGACCCGAAACCGAGUGAUCUAGCUAUGAGCAGGUUGAAGGUUGGGUAACACCAACUGGAGGACCGCACCCACGCCUGUUGAAAAAGUCGGGGAUGACUUGUAGCUAGGGGUGAAAGGCCAAUCAAACUCGGAAAUAGCUGGUUCUCCGCGAAAACUAUUUAGGUAGUGCGGCAAGCGGACACGUUGAGGGGUAGAGCACUGAAAGAGCUAAGGGGGAGCGAUCCUUACUAAACUUUAUCAAACUCCGAAUACUCAAGAGUGAUACUCACCAGACAGACAUUAGGUGCUAAGGUCUAGUGUCGAGAGGGAAAGAGCCCAGACCGUCAAUUAAGGUCCCAAAAUUAUGGCUAAGUGGUAAAGGAAGUGAAUUGUCCAAAACAGUCAGGAGGUUGGCUUAGAAGCAGCCAUCCUUUAAAGAAAGCGUAAUAGCUCACUGAUCUAAACAAGACGAUUUGCGCCGAAGAUGUAACGGGGCUAAAGCCAUAUACCGAAAUUACGGGUUUGUACUAAGUACAAGCGGUAGCGGAGCGUUCUGUAAGCCUGCGAAGGUGUUCCGUAAGGAAUGCUGGAGGUAUCAGAAGUGAGAAUGCUGACAUGAGUAGCGAAAAGAAGUGUGAGAGACACUUCCGCUGAAAGUCCAAGGUUUCCUGCGUAAAGCUAAUCUGCGCAGGGUUAGUCGGCCCCUAAGGCGAGGCAGAGAUGCGUAGUCGAUGGGAAUCAGGUUAAUAUUCCUGAACCAACUAGGAAGUGACGGAUUCAGUAAAUUGUAUGUCCUUAUUGGAUUGGAUAUGCAGUGAAUGAGUUCCAGGAAAUAGCCCUAGUAUAGACCGUACCCCAAACCGACACAGGUGGACAGGUAGAGAAUACCAAAGCGCUUGAGAGAACUAUGUUGAAGGAACUAGGCAAAAUACUUGCGUAACUUCGGGAUAAGCAAGCCCCAUUUCUGGGCAACCAGAGGUGGGGGGCACAUACUAGGGGGUAGCGACUGUUUACUAAAAACACAGGGCUCUGCUAAAUUGAAAGAUGAAGUAUAGGGUCUGACGCCUGCCCGGUGCUGGAAGGUUAAGGAGAGAUGUGAGAGCAUUGAACUGAAGCCCCAGUAAACGGCGGCCGUAACUAUAACGGUCCUAAGGUAGCGAAAUUCCUUGUCAGGUAAGUUCUGACCCGCACGAAAGGCGUAACGAUUUGGGCGCUGUCUCAGCUGUAGACUCGGUGAAGUCUUAGUACCUGUGAAGAUGCAGGUUACCCGCGACUAGACGGAAAGACCCCAUGGAGCUUCACUGCAGGUUGAUAUUGGGAUUUGAUGCAGCAUGUACAGGAUAGGUAGGAGGCAAAGAGAUGGAUACGCCAGUAUUCAAGGAGCCGCUGUUGGGAUACUACCCCUGUUGUAUUGGAUUUCUAACCGGACGACGUAAAGCCGUUGACGGGACAGUGUCAGUCGGGCAGUUUGACUGGGGCGGUCGCCUCCCAAAGAGUAACGGAGGCGCCCAAAGAUACCCUCAGCUUGGAUGGAAACCAAGCGCAGAGUGCAAAGGCAAAAGGGUGUUUGACUGCGAGACCUACAAGUCGAGCAGGGACGAAAGUCGGGCUUAGUGAUCCGGCGGUGCUGAAUGGAAAGGCCGUCGCUCAACGGAUAAAAGCUACCCUGGGGAUAACAGGCUGAUC
rnacentral:rRNA from 1 species